rnacentral:rRNA from 1 species
GACGAACGCUGGCGGCGUGCUUAACACAUGCAAGUCGAACGGUGAAGCGCCUUCCUUUUUGGUGGGUGUGGAUGAGUGGCGAACGGGUGAGUAACACGUGAGUAACCUGCCCCCUUCUUCUGGAUAACCGCAUGAAAGUGUGGCUAAUACGGGAUAUUCUGGGUCUGUCGCAUGAUGGGUCUGGGAAAGAUAUUGUUUCGGUGGGGGAUGGGCUCGCGGCCUAUCAGCUUGUUGGUGGGGUGAUGGCCUACCAAGGCGGUGACAUGUAGCCGGCCUGAGAGGGUAGACGGUCACACUUGGACUGCGACACGGCCCAGACUCCUACGAGGGGCAGCAGUGGGGAAUAUUGCACAAUGGGCGCAAGCCUGAUGCAGCGACGCCGCGUGAGGAAUGGAGGCCUUCGGGUUGUGAACCUCUUUCGCCAGUGAAGCAUGCCUGCCUCGUUUGUGGGUGGGUUGACGGUAGCUUGAUAAGAAGCGCCGGCUAACUACGUG